GCUUAUACUCCUUUCCACGCUUUGAGCAUUCGGGAGAGAAAAAUAUUCGAAGCACGGCAAAAGCUACUGAGCAAGAUGGAAGACUUGAUGAGGCAGGUUGCUGCUGAGAGGGAAACUGGUAAUAUAGAGAGAAUAGCUUCCACUGGAUACUUGGUGUAAUGCACUUGUCCUUUUAUUAUUGAAUAUGCCUCUAAAUCAUAGAGUGUGUGUCCGUGCAUGUGCGUGUGUGCGUGCGUGCAUUUGUACUGCAUGAUUGGCAGGAGACCUUUCCUCCAACAAGGCUCUUGCCAGAAAUAAAAGCCUACCAGAGGAAACACAAGAGCACAGGUACACAUACACUCACAUUCAUCUACAGUAAGGUGCUGCUCUAGUUCCUUUUUCCUGUUGUCUGUCAUUUAAACUUUUACUUCAACUAAUGUCAGUUUCUGGUAACUUAUUUGUGACUCUUUUCGUGUAAACCUGUUCUCAGGAAACCAGUGUUAAAGUUCUGCUUUCACUGCGGUCGCUCAGUGUCUGUGAAUCUGACCCUGGGCAGGCGCUGCAACAAGGUCUCCUACUGCUCCAGGGCCUGCAAGCUCAACUCCUGGGAAGAAAGACACAAGAAAGAGAGCGUCCAGGUAUCAGCAUCUGUUGACAGUGCCCAGAAAAGUGCUGUGUCAAAAACCCAACGAAGUCCCAGGGCUUUGUCUGCCAUCUUGAAAUCCAAAACAGCCCCCAAGCCACUGAGUGUCCAGUUCAAAUCCCAGAGAGAACUAAAGCUGUUGAGCAAGGCAGAGAAAAAGUU
ensembl:lncRNA